GAGUGCCUCUGGUUGUCCUACGUCAGACCCCGCCUCAGCAUGGCCUGAUGAGCGUUAUCACGUCUGCACCCAGGAUUCAAACCGGUGAAACCCUGGGCUGCCGAAGCGGAGCGUGCGAACUUAACCACUUGGCCACAGGCCCAGCCCCUUCGUUGCUCUUCAGGAUGAAAGAGUGCACUAUGGAAACCAGAUGAAAUCAAUGAACUGAUGUUCACGUAGGCGGAAGCUUAGAGACCAGGCAAUGGGCUAGAAAACUCCAGGCACAGUGCUGAGAAGGCGGUCGGACAGCACGGUACAACCUGGGAAUCCUCAAUGGAAGACCAUGGGCUACGGCAGAAGCAGGUGGGGACUUGACUCCUGGUUCUACCCCACUGGGUCAGCAUUACUCUCUGCUCCAGAGUCCUCAUCUCUAAGACGGAGAUGGUCAGACCACCUUGAAGUUCUGUCACGAGAGUUGAAGGAGGACAUCAGUGCUCUUGGCUCUUGGGCAUUUGGACUCAGAGCGGAACUUACACCAUUGAGCCCCAAUUAUCAGGCCCUUGGAUUGGACUGAACUACACCACGGGUUUUCCUGUUUCUCCGGCUUGGAGAUGCCAGAUCGUGGGAUCCCUGGAUUUCACAACCAAUUUGUAGUUUACUUCAUGAUAACGUGUUGGAGGAAGAAGGGACGACACUGGAUUACAGAAGUUCUGCUUCUACGAUUUAAAAAGAUAUCCAUUUAUAAGGCCGAUUCACAGCAAGUGUAAUCAACUGCACACCAAUCAGAGCAUUUGCAGAUCAUAAGCGUCAAAUCUCAGCAACGUGGAUGCUCUUUAUUCUCCGUGCAUCAUCCAAAGGAUCUAAAUGAGAACAGAGCUGGAGUGGAGAACCAAGUCUUCAUCUGGAGAUGGCAAAUAUGGCUCAUCUUGUGGGCCAGCUGUCAUUGACUGGUAGUGAUGACAGGAGAAAGCAUGUUGAGAAGGAAUCUGAGGCCAAAUCAAGGGGUACGUUAGGCCUCAACAGAGCCAGACCAUCCAUCCGCCCUGAGCUGCCCUGCAGGGUGGAGGGUCAGCCCAUCAGCUUCUCUUCAUGAUGUGCUCAGGAGCCACUGAAGGACCACACAUCUGAACAGCAUGUGGACAGGCUCCUGCAGGGUGUGGAACACAGCAGAGCCCAUGGGCUGGUGGCAGGAGGGAGGCCCUCAUCUCUCUGCUCUUCCAAUGGAAUCUAAGAGCGGUUUCCAGUAUGGUGCACAAGCUGCAGAGGGAAACCCUAAAUGCUUCUGACCUCUCUGAAAUGAACACCGUGAUGGAGCCUCGUGCUAGAACUCGAGGGCUUUUUGGUCAAGGCAGAAAGAACCAUUAGACGGACUAGUGAGACAGCAAUUAACGUGAAGCUAUUACCCUCAUUUGGGUCUGGAGGGAAGGUGGUGCAGCCAGGAGACAACUUCAGGAGGUAAGAAACAGCCUCCGCCAGGGGGAACACUGGACAUAUGAUCUAAAGAAGAGCCUGAGGUCACCAGAUCACACAGAUGGGAAAGAGUGUCCAGGCAGAAGGACCUCAAGGAACUGGAGACACUGGUGAUGACCGAAGCCCUGAGAACAGGGGAGCGCCGUGCAGCAUGAGGCUGGUGAGGCAGGUGAUGGAGAAGAUGCAGGCAGCUCAGUGGACCAUUUGGGCCCAUCAUAGGGAGACAGAAGUACAAAGCAGGGCACUGAGCAGCUGCUCAUGAAGGCAUAUGCCAUCAGUUUACAAAAGUUAUAUGAGUCUCUUCAGAAUGAAUGGGUUUCCAGGCCUUCAGCUGCGCUGUGCUACCCACGGGUGGCAUCAGCCUCCAGCAUCAAACAUGGAGACCUCAUCUUAUGACUCAGGUGAGGAUGCAGGUUUGACUGACUGGUCUCAUUUUGUGUCUUUGGCUUUCACUAUGGGGCUUCCAGGAGCAUGGGUCCAAAGGCACUCCUUUGGCUGACAGAUAUUCCGCUGCUAUGUGCUUCUGUCACACUGGGGUGUAGGAGGGUCAGGGCAUCCUCUCCUGUUGGGCAUGCUGAAGCACAGUGUAGAAGCAAUGUUCAGGUGGGUCUCGGUAACAGGACAACUCACAGCUUCCUUGCCUUUCACCAGGAACGUGGCAACAGACUUUCCAUGAAUGGCGCCAACUGUUGCUCUGGAGUUCUGGUGCCCACUCUGGCUGCCCCUUGGAAUCACCUGGGGAGCUGGACUCUACAGACGUUUAUCUUCCUCUGCUGGGCUAGAAUCUCCCAAAGGCAAGGUCUUUUGUCUGUUUUGUUUACGGCUCCAUCUGCAGGUUCUCUAUCAGUGCCCGACACUCUAUGAAUGAAAUAUUACCUACUACGUGUCAGAACUUCGCCUGCCCUUUCAGACACAGACUCUACUCUCAUGGUUAUGUAGUCCCUCUACAGUGUCAUUGUUCUCAUUUCUAUGGAUGAGAAAACUGUGGCCAGGAGAUAACUAGUCUGCAGAAUGUUACACAGCCGGUGCCUGAAAUUUUCAAGACUCAUACAUAGCGUAUGUAGCAGCUGCUGCUGGAAUUCCACCCAUGUGCCCUCAGAGCCCCAUUGUCAUGCACUCCAGCCCAACUCCUGACAGCCUGCACAGCAUCUUUGUCAGCAGGUUGCCUGCAGGCUUCCAGAACUCACCGGCACAUGUGCACGAGGUAGACUGGAAGUACCUUGGAUUAACUGCCUCCGUCACCACUCUGCAACAGCCCUUACUCAAUGACUGACAGGUGUGGGAGUAAGGAUACCUCAGUUCCCUCACCCCUUGGCCAAGAUAAUUUCAAGGCAUGGCUUUACAUCCUUUCCAGACCUUCCUCUGAAGGUUAAGGUUCAGUCACCAGCUGCGGUAGCUGGCUUGACAACAUACACUUUCGGGGUUGACUUCUUACUUGGACUAAUUCUCCAAUUUCCUCCUGGCGUCCCUAUGGCUCCCAAACAUAAUUGUGCAUCCUCAAACCUUGAUCAGGGAAUGCUUCUGCAGAAAACCCGACUAAGAGACUACACUGGCAAUUGCAGUUUAAUUUCUUUAAAGGAGGUUGGUCGAAUUUGUAAGUGAUAUUUACAUUAUCAAAAGAGAUGUUGAAAAAUCUGCCUAUGAUCUAAUAGAUGAUUUUAGUAAAUAGAGCAUUAAGCAAAGCACAAGUAUUUGUGGCUGUUUGUAACCAGGCACAAACGUCCCUCAGACAUUAAAGAAUAUAUCAACAUCUGAGAGUAAAUCUCCUAAUCCACUUUCUAGAAACGGCUCAAAUGUUAGAGUUUCGUGGAAUCCUCUAGGGUGAAUUAGCUAUUCCAUUCUCUCUGCUCUCACAGCAUUUGAUUCAUAUUUCUGAAACAGCAUAUACCGUGCUGUAUUGUAAUUGAUCUGUUUACAUAAUACGUCUCCAAGAUUACAUUCAGAGUUCCUCAAAGGCAAAGAAUAAGUCUUGUUAGCCUUUGUCAUCCCCCCACCCUGAUCUGGCCCUGCCACACUGUUGGCUGCAAUAUUUAGUUAUUGAAAAAAAAAUGAAUGAAUAAAUGAAUGAAUUAAUAAA
rnacentral:lncRNA from 1 species